GCAGUCGCCAGUCUGUGAGUGGUAGUGUCGGAGGGCGCCCGGAGGAUACGCGCGGGCCGUACUACUGUGGAUUCCUGACCGAGCUCCGCCAGAAAAAUGAGGUUGCUGUGGAUUCUUCUGCCCAUUCUAGCGCAAGGCGCGUUCGGUGCCCUGUUCAAAGAGCAGCCGCCGGGCGAGCUGGUGGUUCACCGAGGUGACGAGGUCACCCUCACCUGCAUCACAAACGAGGACGUCAGCUGCGCGUGGAAGCUCGAGACGCCCGCUCUGGGCAUCAGCGGCUUCCUCUCCAACCGAAUUCCUCCGAAUGUAGACAUCACUGCUCGAGACCCUAACAGCGCCAGAGAUUGCACCAUUGUGCUGCAAAACGUCGACGAGAGGUACAACGGCAAGUACCGGUGCUCGCCCUACACCAGCAAGGGAGGCCAGGAGGAUUCGUCCGGCACAGAGCUUAUCAUCGCCGAGAAGCCGAAGCGGGUCUACUACAUUGGCGAAGUGGCCAGCGGGUUCCCUUUGGAAGCCUCCAGCACGAAUCCCACCACAGUCCAAUGUAUGGCCGAGAUGGCGCGGCCCAAGGCCGAGAUCGUCUGGUACCUGGGCAACACGCAACUGUACGACUCCAUCGAGGUGCAGGACACGCAGGUCAACAGCACCGGCCACUGGAACAGUCUCUCUACGCUCACCUACCAGUUCCACAAGGAGGACAACGGCAAGAGCCUGCGCUGCGUCGCCAGUCACGCCGGCUACGACAAGGAUGACAUGGGGGACCAGCAGGCGCGGGAGACGGCCGUGGAUGUUGACGUGCAGUUCGCCGCCUACCGGCCCGGAGGUAACAACAUCGGCCGGGUGUAUGGCUUCACGGCCGGUCAGCCCGGCGAGGUGACGGUCAACUUCACCGCCAACCCCGUGCCGUCGCGAAUGUUCUGGAAGGUCGGCGACACGGUUCAGGUGCCGGCUGGAGGCACCGACCGAAUCGACAGGCGCUUCAGUUCGGGCAUGAUCACCGUCAAAAACGCCUCGCUGGGCAUGUACGCGCUGACGCUGACGAUCGACCCCGUCCAGAUGGAAGACCAGUCCAAGACGUUUGUGCUGCAGCUGGAGAACAGCGUCGGCAGCACGGCGCUCGAGUUUCAGAUCGGCACCGGCGCGCCGCCGCCACCGGAAGCGGCGCUGGGCGCCACCAUCGGCGGCAUUGUGGCCGCCGUCGUCGUCCUCAUCAUCAUCAUCGCUCUGGUGGCGUUCGGUCGCAGCCGCGGCAAAUGGUGCUUCGCAGGUAAGGCCAAAGACACCGUCGACAAGCCGGCCAAAGCGCCGCCGCGGCCUCUCAAGGCGCAGCGGCCGUCCGCCUCUGCGUCCAACGUCAGCCGAGCUGCUGGCGGAGGCGCGGGCGCGGCCGCGGGCGCCGCGCCCAGGAGGCGGCGUAACUCGCUGCCCACCGACAGUCGGCGGCGUAACUCGCGCGGUCCUGGUGGAGGUGUUGGUGGCGGGAAGUUUGGCGUACCCCUGAGCCUGACCGCACUCAAACAGAGCAUGACCUCGCGACCGAACAAGCGCCGGCUUGGGGUCGAGGACGGGGACCCUGAGCUGGAGAUGGAGGAGGUGACUUAUAUCGCCGGCGAGCCCCCGGCGGAGGAGCAGGGCGGCGGUGAGGGGGAGACCGCCGCGCCGCAGCCGCUCGUCAGAGAGGGCUCUCCGACUCCGGUCCCGAAGUCGAGCUCCGAGGAGGGGUCAGUAGGCGAACAGCCGGCCGAACCUGUGGACAUUCCGGAACUGGAUGUUCCGCCACGCUCGUUGGCCCCCGCCACGCCCCGUGUCGGUGAAGCGGACUUAGCUACAAUGCCAAGGACACCCCCCACUCCCAUUUCCCCGAUACGGUUCCCCACCAGCAGGGCGCCCCCUGCUGCUACGUCGUCACCGAUGACUUCGGAGCUGAGCUCCCCGGCCUCUUCCCUGGGUCACCCGCAGCACCCUCCGACAGGGCGUCCGCUGCCCUCUCACAUGGGCCCGCCCGGCGCCUCUCCAAUGGGCCCUCCGGGGCAGCAGAGACCCUCUCAGAUGGGCCCACCUGGGGCUCGUCAAAUGGGCUACCCCGGGGUCGGGCCACAGCCGGGCCGCCCGGGCCCCGCUCCUAUGGGCGCGCGCGGCCAGGAGCCUGGGGACAGAUACGGACCGGGCCGUCCUGACCAGAGCUGGGGCCCAGGUCCCGCCGGGAUGGGCAUGUACUCCAACACGGCAGCACCGGCGCUCCCGGAGAGAAACCCCCACCAGCCCCAGAUGUCAGCGGGCAGACAGAGGGGCGCCAUCGCCUUCCCUCCCGACAAUCCGGGGUUCUCGACGCGACCUCGGUCUGACUUGCCGCCGCGCGGCUCCCGGGAGGAGCUGGGCAUCCCGUACCCUCCUCCUGGCGCCGUGGUGCGCCGCCCGGGGCCGCCGCUGCCGCCCAAAGGUCGGCCGCAGUCGCAGGUUCCGGCGGGAGCAGUCCAGGUGCUGCCCGGUGAAUUGCGGGCUGAGCUAUCUUCGAGGUACCCCUCCACUCCCUCCCUCCUGGACCCGAUUGGUGACGGCUCAGCGGUGUGACCAAAAGGGGAAACACCGAUGGGGAAGUGCAUGAUGAACCAAGGGAAUGCGUGGCACAAGGCCUGGAGUGUGACACAGGCGGCUAGGGAGUGAAUGUGGUGGGGGCUACGACGCAUCAAAGACUUGCGUGGCAGCCCGUCGAGUGAUGUGGGGUGAAACUGAAGCUUGGGAAAGGCUAGAAUCCGAUGCAGGGUACACUGCCGAAGCGACUUAAAGACGUCUGGAGGCGAUAUCAAGGUGUCAGAGAUGAGUGAAUGUUUGACCAUGACCUUGCGUCAGUUAUGUGGGGACGCUGUUGACAGAUGAAUCACCUGAAUAUGAAUAUGGAGCUACACUUUAUGCAUACACUGUAACUGGUGCUCCUACUGUAAAUAUGGUACCCACAUUACCUUCGGGCUCUGAAAGUAGGCAGUGCUGUUAGGUUCCCAGGGAGAUAUUAGCUACAGCUUACUGCUCAUCAGAACAACAGUCGUAACACCCGCAGUUUGUUAGCUUUAGCAGUUGCUUUGUAUGCCGAUCAGUGUACUAACAGGGUACUAACAGAUUAUACGGAGUAUACUUAUGAGAUUUACAUCAGGCAGGAAACUUUGUUCCGAGUGAACAAACCCCUUCAUCAUGAUCGUGUAGCAUGUUCGCGGCUGUCCUUGCAGCUGCCAUAUUUGUGUCAUUUACAAACUGCUGUCUCUUCCUCCUGUUUCAUGCUGUGCCUCUCUCUUUGUAGACUAACCGUAAGCCGCCUCGAGAGGCCGUGCAUGGCGUAUAUUGGAUGUAUGCAGAUCGCACACUUUGGUCGUAGCAACUAGGCUGCAGCUAACGAGCUUGGCGGAACAAUGAGCAUGCUUCAUGACCAUUGCAUGAUUUAGCGAUUGUUAGAUAUAGUGCAUGUGUGUGGAGUGUAUGGAAGUGAGAAAUAUAGUGAUGCUGCUGAGUAGAGCUUAGAUUUUGUACGAGUUAUUAAGAAAAUGAGCUUUCCUAGAAAUACAGCGGACUGUGCCGUAAACAAAAUGCAGUUUGAACGUACAAAUCGUGGCCAGUUUGCUCUGUACAGUGGACUAAUGCUGUAAAUAAACUGAACCUGAGGACUUAGUUUGGAGAACCUGAGAACUUAGUUUGGAGUAUGCUGCUGACUAAGGACUGAGGAGCAUGUGCAUGCGGUGCCCCGGGGUUCUGCUGCCGGCUGCGCCGCCGCUUGGAGCUUGCAUCUUAUGCCAGGUGAGACUGCGGGGUGGGGUGCGGCGGGGUGGCUGAGCUCUCACACUGACAGCAACAUGCACAGCGCGUACCCAUCGGCAUGCAUGCACAGAACAGCACGGUGUGUGGACAGAUACAUAUGGGGCUGCAGGCUGGUUGGAGCUUCCGCGCGCAAUAGUGGCUGACGUAGAAAUUUGCUCACUCUCCGCACACGCUGUCAGCUGUCGCUUCUAGGGACUGAUGUUUAUAUCUUUAACCCUCGCGGGCCCGGGGGGGGGGGCGUUUUUCGCCCCCCCUGGCGAAUAUUUGCGAUAACUCACGAACGCUUAGGGAUAGGAAGGCGAAACUUUCAGUACCUUUUCUCCCAUCAAUUUGACAUCUUCUGAAGUAAAAAAUUCGGACCUAGCCCCCUUGAUGACGUCACAAGGUCCAUUUUUCUAGACCCCUGCACGGCAAACUUCGGCGUCACAGACGCAAACUUCAAAUAGCUGCUAAAAAUAGAGUUUUAGAGAUAAAGACAAAUUACGAGCACGGCUGUGUAGCGUUUGACCUAGAGAAAAAUAGAAAAAUAGUUUCGGUGACCUGAGGUCAGAGGUCAGGUCAACGACCCCGAAAUGUGGUUUUAGUUUUUCGCAAAUAACUUCGACAAAAAUGGUCCUAGAGCUACGGCAGUGGUACCAUCGCAUUCGCCUUGUCAAGCUGCGUCGAAUGAUAUAUAUUUUGUUCGGAAAAGGUCAAGUUUCAUGUUGACCUCAUGUGACCUCGAAUGACCUCUGGUUGACCUUGACACAUGAAAGGUCGUUUAUGAUGGAUUUGUACCCGCUGAUCACGAAUCUGGCAUCUAUUUUCCUCUAAGCCUUCAUUUAGAGCUUCUGGAUGGCAAAAUCGUCUUAUUUAUUAUUACUAACUUGAAUCAGUGAAAUAGCCUCUAGCAGGGAUACUCUUCUGUGACCUUGACCUUUGAGCAGCCUUGUAUCGUAAGAUGAACCACAAAUAGGGAACUGAUAAGCCUCAAAACAUUUCAAAACAUCUUUGAAGUUAGCACGCAAGAUGUGCGAAAAAGUGCCAAAUUUGAGGUCAAUUUUGAGCGUGACCUUGACCUUGACCUUUGAUUUGGAGCACCUUUUCAGAAUCCUCAGAUUCUCUUCUUUCGUUUGACACCCAAUUUUGCCGGUUUGAUGCAGCCUGCCGUCCUCUAGAAUGCUUACUUUGAGAUCACUACACAUGUGCCGGUUUUGGCCUUUGACCUUGACCUCUGACCUUGAAAAUUGACCUGAGGUCAAAAAUUUUGGGUGCAUUAGAAUCGUCUCAUAAGGACCUUUCGUUUGGUAUCGCUUUUGUUUCCGUAGCUCCCUUAUUUACGGAGUUAGACAGGGGGGGCGAAAAACGCCCCCCCCCCGGGCUGCGGUGGUUGGGAUUACCCCCCGGGCCCGGCCGGGUUAAUGAUCCAUUUUCCUAAAAAUAUAUUAACAUAAUACGGGAGUAAUUAUUCCUCUGUUGAAUGUCUGCUAUUCGUAACAAACGAAACAUGGUUGCUUUGAUGCGGAAGCAUUGUCGAGCAUUCUGCAUAUAUGACGGCUGCCGAAACCUUUUGUCCGGCGCCCAACGAAUGAAGCAUGUGUGCGAUCGGCCGUCACCGGCCAGUCGCCUCUCCGAUCUGUGCUUUGCGAGCUGAAAUGACACGAUAAGGCGUCGGUGGAGGGCCCUCGGCUUUGCCAGGCCAGCUUACAUUGUAGCUUGCCCCGCGGCGCCACUGUCUGGCCUGGUUCCUCGGACCUGGCCUCGACUGCGGCGCCGUCUAGCAGACCUCUGCAACACACGGCCACUAAUAACGAACUAACGUAACCACUACUCACGGCCGCUAACGUAGCCCCGCUGUGAGCCGAAGGCACUCCCAUUCGUUACGCCUUAUCGUGCUGUUUCGGCUUUCAGCGCACGAGGAGGGCGCUGGCGCGGGCGCAGCCGACGACGCUGAGGCGGGGCGCGGCACCGCCGACGGUCACGUCGACAACGACGCGGGGCACGAGCAGAAGCAGGCGACGGCCGUGCAGGACUCGCCGGCGUCGGAGGCUCCUGCCGGCGCCACCGAGCCGCCGCCGGCGCCGGCCGACGGCGAGGCACAGAGGAACGGUGCGAACGGCGCCGCGCCCGCUCCCCCGAGCGAUACGGCUGUCUGAGCCGGCCCCGGAGCACCGCACGAGCCCCAGAGCACCCAACGAGAGCCGAGAGCACCGCACGAGCGCCGCGCCAGCCCGUCUCGAGGCCGGGCAGCGACCGCUCUGUGAUACAUAGCGCCAGAACCCCGCGCAGUGUCGUCCGUUGGUGUCCCUCGCCGGUGACGACGAGCGGAGAGCGCGCGCAGCUCGACGAUCAGCCAGCGCGUGAGGACGUGUGACGUGCUGGUGCACCAAGAGAGCGAGCGCAAAAACUGCGGUCUUGUGCUGCGACCAUGGGGUGCGAACGCUCGUCUGAACGGAACGCUUGAUGGCGUGCGAACUAGUGAAUACGCCUGCCCGUGUCGGGCGACAAGUGAAAGCGCGACGCAUCAGGAUUCGUUAGCAUGCUUGAGCAUGUCUGUAGCUAUCUUGUGAGGCUUGAGGUGUUCCAGCUACUGCCCGAGGCGUAUUUUACCUCUAGAUGUGUGUGUACUGAGUGGCAACGUGCAUUUUAAUGUUUUGCGCCUCGCAACGUGCAAACUCGCUACAAAGAGCGAGUUGCGUUUGAGCGGCGAGCACGGUGUACCCGUGCGCAGAGAGGGGCCGCUUUAGCAGCUUAGCCACGUGCCCCUGGGGGCUGCUGCCAGUGCGCUGGCGCGGGCGUAACAUUCCGCUAGUGCUCGGAGGUACUCCGUGACUGUUGGGCAGCUCGCCUGUCGUAGACAGCUGUGUCUGUGUGUACAAUGUUGAGCGGCGACCGGCGUCGGACUGUCGCGAGAAUGCCAGUGAGAGACGAGAGACGAGAGACGGCGGAUAGACGGCGAAUAGAGACGCGCUGAACAAGCGCGCCGACUGCCCCUAGCUUCUGUUGUGGCAUUUAUGGAUGCUCUAGCUACCGUUGAUGUGACGAAGACAAUACAAUGUGUACAGGUGGACAA